rnacentral:rRNA from 1 species
CCCAAUAUCUAGCCCAUUCGCCACCACCUAUUUAUUACUACAAUAAAACAUUUUUAUUUCUUAGUAGGGGAGACCGAAAGAUUUAUAGGCGCCUUAGAUCAAGUACCGAAAGGGAAUGAUGAAAUAAUAAUGAAACAACUAAGCCCCUACAUAGCAAAGCUUGCCCCUUGUACCUUUUGCAUCAUGGUCAAGCCAGUCAAAUUAAGCAAAAAGCAAUUUUAGUUUAACUUCCCGAAACUGGGUGAGCUACUUUAGAACAGUUUUAUAGAACAAACCCGUCCCUGUUGCAAAAGGGUGGGAAGAUUUUUAAGUAGCAGUGAAAAGCUUAUCGGACCCAGAGAUAGCUGGUUGUCUAAGAAAAGAAUCUGAGUUCAACCUUAAGGUAUACUAUAACUACAAAUAAACCACCAACCUUAAGAGCUAUUCAAAUAGGGUACAGCCUAUUUGACCAAGGACACAGCCUCACACACAGGGUACCACUUUUAAAUAACCUAAAGCUGGCCUAAAAGCAGCCNNNAACGCGUCAAAGCCUACCACCACAGACCAACGCCUAAUACCACACACUCCAACCAACCCUUAACUCCUAUUAGACGACUCCAUAACUCUUCCAUGGAAGACAUUAUGCUUGAACUAGUAACAAGAAUUUGUAAUUCUCCCAAAUGUAAGUAUAAGCCGCAAUAGACAAACCAACGGCAAUUAACGUCAAUAAACCCCCUACACCAACCAUCAAGAAAACCCUGUAACAUCAAACGUUAAUCUCACACAAGAACAUUUCAGGAAAGAUUAAAAGGGUGAGAAGGAACUCGGCAAAUAAUAACCCCGCCUGUUUACCAAAAACAUCGCCUCUUGCUCAAAUAUAAGAGGUCCAGCCUGCCCAGUGAUCUUUCAACGGCCACGGUACCCUAACCGUGCUAAGGUAGCGCAAUUACUUGCCCUUUAAAUGAGGGCCCGAAUGAAUGGCAUUACGAGGGUUAUACUGUCUCCUCCCCCCAAUCAGUGAAACUGACCUCCCUGUGAAAAGGCAGGAAUAUCAAUAUUAGACGAGAAGACCCCAUGGAGCUUCAGACUUAGAGCAAGUCAGACAACUAAAGUCCCAGACCUAUGUCUCCACAGUCUUCGGCUGGGGCGACCAUGGAGAAAAAAUCAACCUCCACGCCGAACGGAUAUUUCCUUAUCUACGAACAACACCUCCAAGAAACAGAAUACUGACGCCCACUGAUCCGGACUCCGAUCAACGAACCAAGUUACCCUGGGGAUAACAGCGCUAUCCGCCUCGAGAGUUCAUAUCGACGGGCGGGUUUACGACCUCGAUGUUGGAUCAGGGUGUCCUAGUGGUGCAGCCGCUACAUAAGGUUCGUUUGUUCA